GCUGUAGCUCAAUGAUAGAGCAUCUGCUUUGCAUGCAGAAGGCCUCAGAUUCAAUCCCUGACAUCUGCA